GAUGAACGCUGGCGGCGUGCCUAAUACAUGCAAGUCGAGCGAACGGACGAGAAGCUUGCUUUUCUGAUGUUAGCGGCGGACGGGUGAGUAACACGUGGAUAACCUACCUAUAAGACUGGGAUAACUUCGGGAAACCGGAGCUAAUACCGGAUAAUAUUUUGAACCGCAUGGUUCAAAAGUGAAAGACGGUCUUGCUGUCACUUAUAGAUGGAUCCGCGCUGCAUUAGCUAGUUGGUAAGGUAACGGCUUACCAAGGCAACGAUGCAUAGCCGACCUGAGAGGGGGAUCGGCCACACUGGAGCUGAGACACGGUCCAGACUCCUACGGAAGGCAGCAGUAGGAAUCUUCCGCAAUGGGCGAAAGCCUGACGGAGCAACGCCGCGUGAGUGAUGAAGGUCUUCGGAUCGUAAAACUCUGUUAUUAGGGAAGAACAUAUGUGUAAGUAACUGUGCACAUCUUGACGGUACCUAAUCAGGAAGCCACGGCUAACUACGUG
rnacentral:rRNA from 1 species